AAAGGUUAAGAGGAGAGCUUAGCGCAAGCGAAGGUUUGAAUUGAAGCCCCAGUAAACGGCGGCCGUAACUAUAACGGUCCUAAGGUAGCGAAAUUCCUUGUCGGGUAAGUUCCGACCUGCACGAAAGGUGUAAUGAUUUGGGCACUGUCUCAACGAGAGACUCGGUGAAAUUAUAAUACCCGUGAAGAUGCGGGUUACCCGCGACAGGACGGAAAGACCCCAUGGAGCUUUACUGCAGUUUAAUAUUGGGUAUCUGUCAAGCAUGUACAGGAUAGGUAGGAGCCGGAGAAGAUAGGACGC
rnacentral:rRNA from 1 species